rnacentral:lncRNA from 1 species
AUAGAGAUAAGGUUCUCCCAUCGUUUCUCUUUUCUUCUUGUGCCUUUUGGAGAUGAAGCGUGUUCUCUCUUCUUCUCUUCACAAGCUUGGCAUCUCCUCGCGGACGCACAAGGGAAGGAUUGCAACAAGGCCGACGGUGCUACAAUGGCUUACUUGGUCCGCUAGAGCCAUUACCACGCGUGAUCGGUUUGAUCACCGAUCUGUGGCCUGCGUUCCAGUCUGUUGGCCGCCUCCUCCAGAGCUGCUGUGUGGUGGUGAGUGCUGCUUGUGUUCUCCUAGUGUCUCUUCCAGCAAUCGCUGUGUGGAUGUGAAGCGCUGGGUAAAUCUGUGUGGGAAGUGUUAGUUAGCUCGGAGCUAUGGUGUGGCUCCAUCGCAAAAACAAGCACAAAAACAAACUUGUAUGAAACAGUGGAUGAGACAAAUGGGCUCGUAGAUCAAACAAAGGUGGAUCGCUUUGCUCAAGGGGAGACUCGUUUGCCGGAGGAAUAACGCGGUCUUGUUAGAAGAUUGCCCGGGUAUAAAAGCUCGAAGAAUUCCAUGCGUUGGAGUAUCAGUAGCUCAAAGAGCAAGUUUUCUUUCCUAGUCUCGAGUGAGCAUAUAACUCUUUUAUGGUGCCAAUGUCUUCGCUAGUGAUCUUCUUCUUGCCAGCUAUUGUCGUGGUAGGAGUUUUGGGUAGAAUGCAUAAUACAGCACCACCACCACCACCACCACCCCCCACCCCCCUAUUUAGAGUGGGCCCCAUUUGCUUAUUUGGAUUUGCA